GACACCCUGUAGUGUUCGAGGUGCUCCAUACAACGCUCUUUGCCUUUGCUAUAAUUUGGGAGCCGCUGACAGGCGGGCUGAUGCCAGGCCGUAAACCGGAAGGCAGAAGGUCCGUCGGGUGGUGCCCACCUUUAACUUAAAAAGGACAUGAGCCCCGGGGCGCACGGCACAUAUGGGGAGUCA
rfam:Opitutus sp. GAS368 genome assembly, chromosome: I